GUCUACAGCCAUGCCACCCUGAACAAGCCUGAUCCCGUGUGAUCUCAGAAGCUAAGCAGGGUCAGGUUUGGCUAGUACUUGGAUGGGAGAUCACGUAGGAAGACCAGGUGCUGUAGGCG
rnacentral:rRNA from 1 species